rfam:Elusimicrobium minutum Pei191, complete genome.
GCGCAGGUGGCGGAAUUGGUAUACGCGUGCGUUUGAGGGGCGCAUGCCUAACGGCUUGAGGGUUCGAGUCCCUCUCUGCGCA